AGGUUUUCCAGAGAGAGGCUGUUAGCCUGUCUCUCGCCCACUCCACCACUGUGAAUCCUGGCUACUGGGGCUAGUUCCUUGCUAGGAAAAAAAAACUCUAGAGAAAUGUGUUUGUGUGUGGUGGGUGGGCGGGGGCCCUGAGGAUGCAGGGACUGUGUCUGCUGUGUUGUCUGUUAUAAGAUGUUUCAGACCUAUUUUGCAUACUGGCAGCGACAAGUUGAGACUUGUUCAACUUGACACAGUCCUGUGGUCAUAGCGAAUCUUUCUAAAGCUCUGAUCAGUCAAGAAGGGGGUUGUAUCAAUCCUCAGAACCCUGAGUGGAACUUUCUACAGGAUUUAUUAGGAGAAAAACCUUCCCGGAAGCUGCAGAAGGACAAAUACAGAAUCCGUGUCUGGGAGAAACCUCGUGGCCUGGUCUCCAUUAUUUGAGAUGAGUUACAUCUUGGAGGCCUGAUCUUUUGGCCAGAAGGAGAUUAAAAAGAUGCCCCUCAAGAUGGCUGUGCCUGUCAGCUGCAUGGAGCUUCGUUCAAGUAUUUUCUGAGCCUGAUGGAUUUACAGUGAUCUUCAGUGGUCUGGGGAAUAACGCUGGUGGAACCAUGCACUGGAAUGACACACGCCCGGCACAUUUCAGGAUACUAAAAGUGGUUUUAAGGGAGGCUGUGGCUGAAUGCCUCAUGGAUUCUUACAGCUUGGAUGUCCAUGGGGGACGAAGGACUGCAGCUGGCUGAGAGGGUUGAGAUCUCUGUUUACUUAGAUCUCUGCCAACUUCCUUUGGGUCUCCCUAUGGAAUGUAAGACCCCGACUCUUCCUGGUGAAGCAUCUGAUGCACGUUCCAUCCGGCGCUCAGCUGGGCUUGAGGACUUCGCAGCUGACCAUACUCCCUGGAGCCUUCUCCCGAGGUGCGCGGGUGACCUUGGCACAUACAGCCAUCAUGAUGGUACUUUAAGUGGAGGCUGAAUCAUCUCCCCUUUGAGCUGCUUGGCACGUGGCUCCCUUGGUGUUCCCCUUUUACUGCCAGGACACUGAGAUUUGGAGAGAAUCCUGUUACACCUGGGAUUUAGGCACUUUCAAUCUGAAAAAAUACAUAUCCUUUCAGCACUCUGGACGGACUUGAGAACUGUCCUUACGUGACCUAAAGCUGGAGUAUUUUGAGAUUGGAGAAUUAAGGCCUUCAGUGGGUUGAAUGAGGCCCAACCCACAUUGAAGAGGACCAUCUGCUUUACUCAGUCUCCUGGUUGAAGUGAUAAUCUCAUCUGGACAUACUCAGAAAUGCUGUUUAACCAGCUCUCUGGAAAUCCUGUGGCCCAGUCAAGUUGACACACAAAAUUAACCAUCACACUGCAGAGACACAGUCUAUCCCAAUACCUGUAUUUACUGGAGUGUGGGCACCCUGGCUUCAAGCUCACGAGAAACCAGGUCGGGAUUUAAACAAUGUUGGGUUAAAGCAAAGUUUCAUAAAGACAGAAUCAAGAAAAAAAGAAAGAG
rnacentral:lncRNA from 1 species